rnacentral:rRNA from 1 species
CAGCAUGGGGUUGCUGUGUCUUAUAUGCAGGCAUGGCGCGGAAAGGAGAGAAGCAUGGCUGCUGUUCAUGGUACCCUUGAGGAUGGAUAUCGCCUUCUUCCUGCAUACUGUGACCAGAUUGGAAAGACAAAUCCUGGUAGCGUUGCAGUAUACAAAGGGGCUGGGCCAGAGAAUUCCUUCCAACGGCUCUUUGUUUCAUUUCAUGCAUCUAUUUAUGGUUUCUUAAAUGCGUGUAGACCCCUUUUGGAAAUUGACAAGGCAGAUCUAAAGGGCAAGUAUCUUGGGACAUUGCUAUGUGCUUCGGCUGUUGAUGCUGAUCACAUGAUGUUCCCUGUAGCAUUUGGUGUUGUUGAUUCUGAAAGUGAUGAGAACUGGAUGUGGUUU